rnacentral:rRNA from 1 species
GGGUCAGUAGGUUGGUCGUGCUACCGGUACGUACUGGUCUCACUGAUUCCUCCUUCCUGAAGAACCGUAAUGCCAUUAAUUUGGUGUUGCGGGGAAACAGGACUGUUACUUUGAAAAAAUUAGAGUGUUUAAAGCAAGCUAACGCUUGAAUACAUUAGCAUGGAAUAAUGAAAUAGGACGAUCGAUCCUAUUUUGUUGGUUUCUAGGAUUGACGUA